GCUGGGAUUAUAGGCGUGAGCCACCACACCUGGCCUGAAACAUGGGUUCUAUUCCCCUGGGCUCACCAAGGGCUGCAGGGGGUCUGAGAUCUCUGUGAGAUGGGGAGU